AGAGUUUGAUCAUGGCUCAGAAUGAACGCUGGCGGCGUGCUUAACACAUGCAAGUCGAACGAGAACGGGAUUGCUUGCAAUCCUUAGUAGAGUGGCGCACGGGUGAGUAACACGUAGAUAAUCUACCUCCAAGCCUGGGAUAACUAUUCGAAAGGAUAGCUAAUACCGGAUGAAGUUGCCAGGCAUAAGUCUGGUCAUGAAAGGUUGCCUCUUCUUGAAAGCAAUUGUUUGGAGAUGAGUCUGCGGACCAUUAGUUUGUUGGUGGGGUAAAAGCCUACCAAGACUACGAUGGUUAGCUGGUCUGAGAGGAUGAUCAGCCACACUGGAACUGACACACGGUCCAGACUCCUACGGGAGGCAGCAGUGAGGAAUUUUGCGCAAUGGGGGAAACCCUGACGCAGCAACGCCGCGUGAGUGAAGAAGGCCCUUGGGUCGUAAAGCUCUGUCGACAGGGAAGAAAUUACUUUGUAUUAAUAGUGCAUUGUAUUGACG
rnacentral:rRNA from 1 species